UACGGGGGGGCAAGCGUUGUUCGGAAUUACUGGGCGUAAAGGGCUCGUAGGCGGCCAACUAAGUCGGACGUGAAAUCCCCAGGCUCAACCUGGGAACUGCGUCCGAUACUGGAUGGCUUGAAUCCGGGAGAGGGAUGCAGAAUUCCAGGUGUAGCGGUGAAAUGCGUAGAUAUCUGGAGGAACACCGGUGGCGAAGGCGGCUUCCUGGACCGAUUACUGACGCUGAGGCGCGAAAGCUAGGGGAGCAAACGGG
rnacentral:rRNA from 1 species